rnacentral:rRNA from 1 species
GACGAACGCUGGCGGCGUGCUUAACACAUGCAAGUCGAACGGAAAGGCCCGCAUCAUUUUUUUGGUGGGGGUGCUCGAGUGGCGAACGGGUGAGUAACACGUGGGUGAUCUGCCCUGUACUUCGGGAUAAGCUUGGGAAACUGGGUCUAAUACCGGAUAGGACCAUGGUUUAGUGUCUCAUGGUGGAAAGAUUAUUGUUUUGGUGCAGGAUGAGCUCGCGGCCUAUCAGCUUGUUGGUGGGGUAAUGGCCUACCAAGGCGUCGACGGGUAGCCGGCCUGAGAGGGUGGACGGCCACAUUGGGACUGAGAUACGGCCCAGACUCCUACGGGAGGCAGCAGUGGGGAAUAUUGCACAAUGGGCGCAAGCCUGAUGCAGCGACGCCGCGUGGGGGAUGACGGCCUUCGGGUUGUAAACUCCUUUCGUUAGGGACGAAGCCGCACCUUUUUUUGGGUGUGGUGACGGUACCUUUGUUAAGAAGCACG